UCCCUGCCUGGACAGUGUGUGCAACCAAAGACAAGGCUUUCUCUAGGGGUUAGGCACUGGGGCCCGGCCUCAAGACUGGGCGUGUCCAGGAGGGGGCAGCAGAGGGACCUGCACUGGCUGCUCCCUCCUGUACCCAAGACCCUUGCUUUUCCUUCAGGGCCCUCAGGCAGCAGCAGGUGAAGGGAGGUGCAGAUCCACUGGCUCCUUACAGCCUCUUGGGCCUGAGCCUCUGGGAAAGCUGGCUGGUUCUAUCCCCGAUGCCCACCUCCUGGUUCUCGUCUGGCCACUUCGCCUCCCUGAACCUGCAGCACCUCUCCGGACCAGCCCUGCUGCCUCACCUCCUCCUGGCGCCUAGCCCUAGUCUGCUUCCCCGCACCUCCUUGCAGCUUCAGGCUCACCACGUGCAUCUGUCCCCGUACCCUGGCAGCCUGCCAAUGCCUGCCCGCAGGCCCGGAGGCCCUGCCCCAACCCUCUGAGGGGCCAUCAGCUGCUCACAGCUCUACACGUGAUGCUGCUUCUGCUCAGAGAGCCACCCACACGACUUAGGUGAAGUCAUCCUGGUAUAACCCAGGCCCAUUACUAACAUUCUGUGCCUCAGUCUCUCCAUCCACAAAUGGGGAUAACCAGGGUGCCCAUCCCAGUGGUUUUCUGAGCUACUGUGUGCAAAGUACUGAGGACUGGCCCAGAGCGAGAGCUAAAUAUUUGCUCAAAUUUAAAAGGACUCCCUUUCCUGGGGCACCUGGGUGGCUCAGUGGGUUAGGCCUCUGCCUUCGGCUCAG